GGCCCAGAGGCACAGUGGUGUGCGUCUGCAUUCAGUACUCAGGAUAAUAUGGCAAUAUUGAUGCGGGAGGAGCUUGUUCGAUUCAAGCCUGGGCCA